UACGUAGGGGGCUAGCGUUGUCCGGAUUUAUUGGGCGUAAAGCGCGUGUAGGCGGCAGUGCAAGUCGGGUGUGAAAGCCCUCAGCUCAACUGAGGAAGUGCGCUCGAAACUGCAUUGCUUGAGUACCGGAGAGGAUGGCGGAAUUCCCGAAGUAGAGGUGAAAUUCGUAGAUAUCGGGAGGAACACCGGUGGCGAAGGCGGCCAUCUGGACGGAUACUGACGCUGAGGAGCGAAAAGCGUGGGGAGCGAACAGG
rnacentral:rRNA from 1 species